AUUGAACGCUGGCGGCAGGCCUAACACAUGCAAGUCGAACGGUAACAGGAAACAGCUUGCUGUUUCGCUGACGAGUGGCGGACGGGUGAGUAAUGUCUGGGAAACUGCCUGAUGGAGGGGGAUAACUACUGGAAACGGUAGCUAAUACCGCAUAGCGUCGCAAGACCAAAGAGGGGGACCCUCGGGCCUCUUGCCAUCGGAUGUGCCCAGAUGGGAUUAGCUUGUUGGUGGGGUAACGGCUCACCAAGGCGACGAUCCCUAGCUGGUCUGAGAGGAUGACCAGCCACACUGGAACUGAGACACGGUCCAGACUCCUACGGGAGGCAGCAGUGGGGAAUAUUGCACAAUGGGCGCAAGCCUGAUGCAGCCAUGCCGCGUGUAUGAAGAAGGCCUUCGGGUUGUAAAGUACUUUCAGCGGGGAGGAAGGGAGUAAAGUUAAUACCUUUGCUCAUUGACGUUACCCGCAGAAGAAGCACCGGCUAACUCCGUG
rnacentral:rRNA from 1 species